GAUGGUAGACCACAUUUUUCAUCUUAAUUGUUUUGAAAAGAGAACAGUAACAAAUAAGAGACCUACUACUUAGUAGAAGGAAAUAAGUCUUUUAUUGAAAUUUAAAUGAAUAAGUUUAGAAGAAUUUGAAAUUUUCAUUUUUUUGCAUUCUGAUGGGAGACUCCUAGAAGUGGGUUUUAUGAAACUAUAAAAGAAGUCAUUCUUGAACCAAUUAUUCUGAAGAUGGGUCAUGUAUUUCCCUUCAUACCAUUUUUUCUGUUGUUGUUACUAGAUUAUCCUGAUUUUAGUACAUGGACACUUAGUACUUUUCUUUAUCUUUUAAUUAAAAAAUGACCUUAUGAUUUUUAAAAGUAGAGAAUCAAAAGCUCUGAGAUAAUUUUUCAUUCUCACUAAAGAAAAUGUGUUCUAAAGUCAAAUUUAUUUUUGUACAAAAGCAGUGACAUGCAUUUUGAUAUACAUUUAAGAAUCUAUGCCAAUUAAAAUUUUAUAACAAUGAAAGCAACACAAACUCAAUUACAGCCAUGCAACUCACUCAUCACUCACCUUUUGUUCUCUUUUUCUUUUAAAAUUUAUAUAAAAGAAUAACAGCAAACAUGUUGAUUUCAUCUGUGCUUGUUCCGUGUAUUUGGACAUAAAAUGUCUACAUGAGAUGCCAGGAAAAGAAGGCAUAUUUACUCGUCUUUAGAGUAAAAACAUGGCAUUUAUCAAUGUGGUCUAUAGUCAUACCUAUAGAACAAAUUUUAGAUCCGCAAUGACUGAUUCUCAUUAGUAUGAAGAUAGAAAUUAAAAUAAGACCAAGAUAAUUUAAAUGAAACUCCACAGUUAUUUUAGCAUAAUAGUGAUGAAUAAAAAGCUCAUCCUUGUAUUUCAUCCCAGAAAAGGUUUGGGAAUGGAAGCCACGAGGCCCAGGUUCUGUGCUAGUUUUGACAAUGACUCACUGGGAAAUUUAGACCGUAUGAUCUCCCUGGGCUAUAUACCUAUGAAAUGAAGGGGUUGUAAGGUGAAAGUCUGUGAUCCCUCUCUACUUUAAUAAGUAUAAUAAUCUGCUAAGUAAAUUGCUGUGCACUGCAGUAGUUUUUCUCUGAAACAGACGGAUACUCUCAAAUGUGAGAACAGUAGUGUUAAGGGACUAUAUUGAAAACUAAAUGUCCUUAUUAUGAGCCCUACUUGACAAGAGAAGCUAAACUUCCUUCACCCAUCGUGCUCAAGCAUUCUUCCAUUGCUCCUAAUUCUAAAUCCUACCCAUUAGUCCCUCCCUGACCUCUAGGCAUGUAGCUAAACUCACUUCCCCGGCCUUCUCUGAAGAUCUCUUACAGCCUGUGACCCCAUUCUGGCCAAUGUGAUAUUGGUAGAAGUAAGACAUGGUAGGAGUUCCUGUGUAAUCAUCCAUCUUUCUCUUGACCAGUCUUCUGUUUGGUUGUCAGUCAAAGAGGCACUGGAAAAAGUGUGCUAAAGAUAAUGAAACUUCUACCAACUUGAAUCAUUAACCAGUUUUUAAAUGGGCAAGAGAAACUUCUUGUGUUAAGCCACUGAGAAUUGGGGGUUUAUGUAUUAUAGGAGCUAAUAUUAUCUUAACUAAGAACUUUUCUAAACCUAAGAUUGGUAGUUCUAUGAUAAGAUAUUUAUGUUGACUUCACAAUGAUUUUCCACCUUGUGUUGAUAUUUCUUUGCUAUAUGUAAGGUCUUUGAGGACAGACAUGUAUUUUGCUCAUUUCUCACAAAACUCUAGUUUGGAAAUUGUAGACUGUUAUAAAAAUAGUUUUAAUUUAAAAACCAUUCUCUUUUUUGUCUUAUUCUACUUAGGUAGAAUGAUAAGGAUGAUGUGUUUAAUUUUGAUAUGGACUGACAUUGUAAUAACCAUAGCUUUUCAAUUUAUUUUUGUGUACUGCCUAACAGCCAUGCUCUCAAAUUCAAAUACGAAUAAAAUAUUUUUAAAAAUCAAGAUAAUACCAAUGGAAGCAUAAGUGAACACAUUGAGAUAUACUAGAACUAGAAAACUUUAAAAAAAUAUUUUCAGUGUUAUAGAGAUUCUACCACCAAGUAUGAAGUUCCAGCUAUUAACUAUUCUAUCAAAUAGAUCAAUGCACUUCUGCCACUUUCCUCUCUAUGCCAGUAUUAGUUUCCUCUGAACCAAAUGAUGGGCAUUUCCAGUUGUGGUCACCUCUGCUCCUUCCUAAAACAUUUCACCCUUAGUUUCCUUAACAAUACUGGCCUGAUUUCCUUUCCUCCUCUUUUCAGUCCUCUCCUCUUUGCUUUGGCACCACUUUCUUGCCCACUAGUCAAAUACCGGGAUUUCCUAGUAUUCUGCUCUGGGAUUGUUUUCCCCUCACAACUUCUUGAUUCAUCUCACUCAGGUUUAUGUCUUCACCAGCAAUAGCCUCUAACAUAACUCCUGACUUGUGACGUCCAGUCCCAACCUUGUUCCACAAGGGUAGAUCUGUAUUAUGUAUAGUAUCCUGGAUAUCUGACAAAAAUCUGAGCAUUUGGAAGUCACCAUAAAUAUAAUCAGAAAUAUAAUUUCUGAUGCUUCAUGGGAAAUCUCUUUUCUAAUGUGGCAUUUCUUAGAGGAUGACUUCAACUGAGAAGCAUUAAGUGUGCGCUUUCUCUCCUGUCUGUGUCCUUUAUGGAAAUUAACUAAUUAAAUUCCAAAUCCUAUAGUAUUUUAAGCAAUUCUCUUGAGACUUUUGUUUAGCCUUGAGGACAGGGAAGUAAAGGCAGAUUAAAAAUAGGAUUAUUUGAACUCAGUGUCAGAUCUACCAUUAUGAAUUUUUUUCACACAGGCAAGAAGUGCAGGAUGAAUUUUUUUUUUCAUACCCUUCCAUUAUACCAGAGUUCCAUUAUAAGCCUGGAAGGAACCAUGAGAGAGAAUACUCUUAUAUUUUAUUUCUCACAAUUGGGAUUGCUUUGAAACAAAAAGUAAUCAGUGGAAAGAAAAGAUUUUUGCAGAGGUGAGAGGAGCUUUGCUCAAUUCUGGUUCCUUGGUAACCUCUGCAAAAGAAAAGUUUAAAAAAUGUCCUUACUAGCUGAACCUCCAGAAACAGCAGGAUCAUAGUUUCCAUUCAUUUUGGGGGCAUAAUUAUAUGGGCUCACAUUUAUUUUAAGUGUUAUAUUUUUCUUUGACGUACAAAUGAGACUCAUUCCCUGUGUAAUCAGUUGCUUUGAUUUCUUGGUCUUACGAUUCAUUCUUCAAUGUUUUUCACAAUUCUUCAACAUUAGUAAUAACUUCCUAUAGCAAGGCUGCUCCUUUUUCUUUUCCCAGUGUGAUAUAUUUAUCAUCUAUUACACAAACCUCCUCCCUCUGCUUCUUCCUUUUGCACCACCAGCUCUAACAUCUUAAAUUUUCAUUUGACAUACUGCUUACCUAAAUUAUUUCAUGUGUGUUCCCAUCCAUGGAAAUUCAUUUUUGUGUGACAUAAAUCCCUACCCUAUUCUAUUUCACAGUAAUAAAACUUUAUACUGAAUUGCCAAAGAGAUAGGUAACCAACCACACAGUUUAAAUUAAGUGCAAGAUACACAUGUUUGAAUAUUCUGCUCUCUGUCUCAGAUGUGGAGAGACAGGUCCUGUUUGUGUCUGAGCAUUCUAUCAUCUUACUCAAACUGUUAGAGUUAAAUCACCUAAGAAUGGUUUGUUUCUCUCUUUGAGUCAAAAGUAACUUCCUCUGUGCAAAACAAGGCAGCUAUGAAAUAAUAUGUGCAUUAAACAAAUCUCUUAUAAAUAAUAAUUAUGUUCAGGUUUAGUCUAUGAAAGGAGCUGUUCAUGACUUGAGCACAUGCCAACAAGAAUAAACUUCAUCUAAGGGCUGGGUGCUUUCAUUGUUGUCUCUCAGAGCUGUCCAUAGCCUCCAGUCCUUGCCCAAGUUAACCUUUGCUAGUUGUUGUAGCCAUGGUAAAUAUCCUGUUUAUUGGAUUUUAUUAGCAUUUUAAAUUUUGACAUUUGCAAAAGCACAAUCCUCCUUCUUUUUCAUCCUGUCACUUUUUAAUGUGUAAGUGUCCAGGCUCUUUCCAAUUUGAAGUUUCUCUCUCCUAGCUCCAGAAGAUUAUAAUUUUGGAAAACCCAACUCUUUGGCUUCCUUCCUCUCUCAAUGAAAACAUCUACUUCUCUGACCUAUGUCUCCCUUGCCCAGCGUUUUCCGUGAACACUCGCCCUCCAACAUUCACGAUUCAUCCGCACAGGCCCAUCAUAACAGCAUCACAUCCUUGUCCUGCUGGAAACUACUCAGCAUCCAGAGGACCAUCUUUCUGCUGAUAACACUAAAAUAUAAAAUAAUGCCAACAGCUGGUGCUACAAAUGGCUUUUAAAAACGAUGUUCAUUCACUAAAAUUCCUCUUGCUACUUUUGACAUGAAACACGCAGUCUCUAAUUAUUCUGAUCAAGACGGUGAAAUACAAAAACAAACUUUAAUUGUGUUUAACAGAUAUUUAAUCAGGACUCACUGAACUACAGAUUAAAGCUGAAAUUCAUAAACCAUAAUUACCCGAUUGUCGCAAUCUUUUGGUCCACAUUCUCCUUCCGUCUGGGCGUCUGGCACCUUGCCCCGAAUUUCUUUUACUGUCUUCUCAGCUUCGUUACUGUUCAUGUUUUCCAGCAGAGAUUUAGCACAGAUUACAAAAUAUCUGUUCUUGGCAACUUUCUUCAUUAGCUUUUUUCCCCCCUUGCAGAAAAGUUUAUUUAUUUAUUUUCUCUAUCAGAGUAGCUGAAGCAGGCAUACGUUUAGGGUGCUUUGAUGACACAAACUAAUUAUAUAGUUAUCAGGAGAUAAUACGGUAGUGAUAACUAGAGUUACUGUAGUUAUCACAGAGGUAUCAUGCAAUUUCUCCUGUGUGCUAGCAGUGUGCCCCAGUCACCAUGCAAUUACCUUGUGUCACCAGUGCAUUGUUUUAUGGAAAAGGCUUAUCAUUCUCCCUAACAAAACUUUGUCUGCCGCAUUUGGAAAAAAAUAAAAUGAAAGUGGAAUUCUUAAGUUCUGUUUUCCAGUUCUGCUCCUUCUCAGUAGGCUGUGGACAUGUG